CGCGUCGGUGCCGUGUUUGUGACUGACUGGGCUGGCGCCGGACUGGCUGCACGCCGGCUACGGCGCGCCCGCCGGUCGGUCACAGAGCACGGGACCGGCCGC
rnacentral:miRNA from 14 species